rnacentral:ncRNA from 2 species
ACACAGCGCUCUGGAGAGAGCCGGCCAUCCGCGCGAUGCGCGAUGCGACCGGACGCCGAAGGUGCAAACCCGUCAACGCGGGGCAACUCUCAGGCAAAAGGACAGAGGGGCGGAA